rnacentral:rRNA from 1 species
CCUACGGGAGGCAGCAGUGGGGAAUAUUGCACAAUGGGGGAAACCCUGAUGCAGCGACGCCGCGUGUGGGAAGACGGUCCUCUGGAUUGUAAACCACUGUCCCCAGGGACUAAGAUUACGGUACCUUGGGAGUAAGCUCCGGCUAACUACGUGCCAGCAGCCGCGGUAAUACGUAGGGAGCGAGCGUUGUCCGGAUUUACUGGGUGUAAAGGGAGCGUAGGCGGGACUGCAAGUCGGGUGUCAAAUCUACCGGCUCAACCGGUAGCCGCACUCAAAACUGCAGUUCUUGAGUGAAGUAGAGGCAGGCGGAAUUCCUAGUGUAGCGGUGAAAUGCGUAGAUAUUAGGAGGAACACCAGUGGCGAAGGCGGCCUGCUGGGCUUUUACUGACGCUGAGGCUCGAAAGUGUGGGGAGCAAACAGGAUUAGAUACCCCUGUAGUC